UACGGAAGGCAGCAGGGGGAAUAUUGGACAAUGGGCGAAAGCCUGAUCCAGCCAUGCCGCAUGAGUGAAGAAGGCCUUCGGGUUUGUAAAGCUCUUUUAGUGAGAAAGAUAAUGACGGUACUCACAGAAGAAGUCCUGGCUAACUCCGUGCCAGCAGCCGCGGUAAUACGGAGAGGGCUAGCGUUAUUCGGAAUUAUUGGGCGUAAAGAGCGCGUAGGCUGAUUAGUAAGUUAAAAGUGAAAUCCCAAAGCUUAACUUUGGAAUUGCUUUUUAAAACUGCUAGUCUAGAGAUUGAAAGAGGAUAGAGGAAUUCCUAGUGUAGAGGUGAAAUUCGUAAAUAUUAGGAGGAACACCAGUGGCGAAGGCGUCUAUCUGGUUCAAAUCUGACGCUGAGGCGCGAAGGGCGUGGGGAGCAAACAGGGAUUAGAUACC
rnacentral:rRNA from 1 species